ACAAAUAAUCAUAGUUAGCAUCGUUGGUGCUCUACUAUUUGCUGUUGCCUUGAUACUGGUUUAUGUUCUUAUUUCGCGAAAACGGAAGCGGUCAAAACGUGAUGUUGUCAGUGGCACACAGCAGCAAGACCGGGGGGCAAAUCAAUGGGCCGAAGAGUGUCCGUAUGGAGAACCAGUUGAUGCAAUACGAGUGAGAAGCGUAAUUCACGCAUCUGCAAGCAAUGCUGAUUAUGCCACCGUGGAAGAGACUGGGUACAAACGGGUUACCACUUCUAAAACAGUACAACAGCCAACACGUGAUGAGACAUCCAGUUCCAAGAAAGUGAAAUCUAACGUGGAACCCGUGUAUGCUAUAGUCAAUAAAAACAAAAAGAAGGUU